rnacentral:lncRNA from 1 species
AACAACAAGUAAUCCAAAGCUUCAGUUGCAUAUUUUUUAACUUGUUGCUUGUUACUGUAAGGUUGUCUCCUCAUCUGCCUGUUGUACUUCACAGUUGCCCAGUUUGUGAUCAAGUUGUCUAGUUUUGUAGGUUGUUAUUGCAUACCUUGUUCGACUCAACAAUGUAUGAACCAUUUAAUACCUUGACGGAAGACCUGAUGGUGCUGCUGCAACACAUGGUUUAGAGUGAAGUAAUACUUGAGUUACGACGACUAACAUUUUCAAGUGACCAACCUGUAAAAAAGUUGUAAAUGAUAUAAUAUCACCCCGUCCUUGUAAAAGGUGUUUUUCAGUCUUUGGUAUGUUGUGAAGCAGCUAACUCUUUUUCUCCCAAAAGUAAUUAUAUAUUGUCCGUGAAGACAGACAAUACCCAAGAGGUACGCAUGGCGGUCAAAGUUGAGGCAUCUACAUUUUUGUUGCGAAACCCAAACAACAACAACGACGACCCAGUGAAAUCCCACUAGUGGAUUCUGGAGAGGGUAGUGUGUACGCAAACCUUACCCCUACCCCGAAUGAGUAGAGACGCUGUUUCUGAAAGACUCUCGGCUCAAGAAGACAAAAAGAGACAAUAUCAGUAUCACCAAUAGAAACCAUAGGAAAAAUAACAUCAUGGAAAUGAGAAAGUAGAUGCAAAGCAAACGCGAUAGACAGUACAUAGACCCGGUACUAUAGUAAACAAAGGAGUAGUAAGACACACCAUUGUUGCGAAACCCAAUGAGACCUUAUUUGUAGCUAAUGAGAAUACAGUAACAAUGCAAACAUGAUGCCAGUCAACUUACUGCUAAUAAUAAUAUACAUAAAAUAGAAAAGAGAACAAUUUACUCUUUCAAGCAUAAACUUUAAGAAAAGCUAUUAGUAAAAUCUUUGCUCUUUUUUGGAACUCGAAAUUAAGGCUAUUAUAAUCUUUCACUAUUAAUAUUUUUUUCUAAUAUAUACAUAAGUAAGCAAAUUACUGAUUCCGCUUCUUUCAAGUUCAUGAAAGUUUUAAACAGGGAUUAGUGAUGUGGUGACUGAAAUUGGACUACAUGCAGCUUAUGAUCACCAAUAGAGAGGUUUUAAAGUAACAUUGACAAGUGUAAUUUGUGAAAAGCAUAAGCAUGUAAAACUUCCUACCUCCAGCUUAACAUUUAAGACCAUCUCGAAUUGCUUGACAAUCUCUCUCUGAUGACAUCUUGGUCGAUUUCUGCCCUCAAUAUUGAGAUUGGAACCUUAAUAACUGAUCAUCACGUCCGAUCCUUUUCCGGACCCCGCACAUAGCGGGAGCUUAGUGCACGGGCUGCCCUUUUACAAUAGAUUAACAACCUAAGGCUUCAGAAGCAAAAACGACCAAAAUCAAUAAAUUAUGAAAACUGUCUUGAUACUGCACUAAAUUAUGAAAUUAUGUUCUAAAUUGAGAAGUAGAAGUGAACUAUCAUGGCAAACAUGAUAUUUUUGAUAUAUUGAACCGAAUAAAUGUUUAAAACCAUUCCUCCUACAGUGCCUUCAAGAACGACAAUCUUUUCUACUAAACAUUUAGUACCAUGGAAACACUUGAGGGAAAAUCUUUUUAGACCAAACUAACCGAAAAAAGGUAAAUGUGACACAGUAGUACAACUAUAUGAUAACCUUUUAUCUGGUCAAACUCGGCAAGAAGUGGAACUUGGUAAAGAAGAAAGACAACAUAAAAAUAAAAAUGAAAGUGUAAAGUAACCUAAGUUCAUUUGAAAAACAAAAAUGACAUAACUCACUUAACUCCCUUACCUCUGUUGGAAUAAAAUAAGACAAGCAGCACAGCAUCCUAAGCAAUUGGUAUGAAGUUGAGCAGCUCUUGUUAAGCAACAUAAUUUACUUUGUGAAAGAGGCCACAUGAAUGCUUAAUGAAGACCCAAAAAGAUGCCAAAUAUUCAUAUACAAAUGAACUUCAUUUGGAAUCUAAAAUAUUACAUACCUAGAAAUUAGUACAUUACUGGUAUGAUGAGAAAGUCGCUGGCUUUUUAAGUUAGCUCUUUUAGCUUGCAGUUGCAAUAAAAUGAUUGUUUUCUCUCUGACGAUCUCCGACGACAUUUGUGCAUAUCUAAUACGACGUCACAUAUUUCUAUCAGCAAGUCGUUGUUCCUCAGUAUACCGUAAUCUAUGCAAUCCAGUGUCUUUGCUUGUUGACACUCCAGUUCCAAGCAAUUUUUUAUUUUGUUAAGUAAUUUUUACAAUUUGGUUUAAUUCUAAAAAACUUUACAUUAGAUAGAUACAUACCUCUAUUUGUAGAAACUACUGGAAUUGGAGAAUUUCU